rnacentral:rRNA from 1 species
GUACAAUAAGCAAAAUAAGGGCGCAUGGGGGAUGCCUGUGGCUCUCAGAGGCGAAGAAGGACGUGAUAAGCUGCGAAAAGCUACGGGGAUCGGCACACACGAAUUGAUCCGUAGAUAUCCGAAUGGGGCAACCCACUAUAUUGAAGAUAUAGUAUCCGAUAGGAGGCAAACCCGCUGAACUGAAACAUCUAAGUAGGCGGAGGAGAAGAAAACAAAAGUGAUUCCGUAAGUAGUGGCGAGCGAAAGCGGAACAGCCCAAACCAAUGUUGUUACGGCAUCAUUGGGGUUGUAGGACCACGACAUUCUAUGCAAACUGAACUGGAACCAUCUGGAAAGUUGGGCGAUACAAGGUGAUAGCCCUGUACAGGUAAGGAAUGUAAUAGAUAGUGGUAUCCUGAGUAGGGCGGGGCACGUGAAACCCUGUCUGAAUCUGGCGGGACCAUCCGCUAAGGCUAAAUACUCCUGAGAGACCGAUAGUGAACCAGUACCGUGAGGGAAAGGUGAAAAGAACCGUGAAUAACGGAGUGAAAUAGAUCCUGAAACCAUGCGCCUACAAGCGGUCGGAGCCCUUUCGUGGGGUGACGGCGUGCCUUUUGCAUAAUGAGCCUACGAGUUACCGUUGCUGGCAAGGAUAAGUACUUAAGGUAUGGAUCCGUAGCGAAAGCGAGUCUGAAUAGGGCGCCAUAGUCAGUAAUGGUAGACGCGAAACCGUGUGAUCUACCCAUGGGCAGGAUGAAGCUGUGGUAACACACAGUGGAGGUCCGAACCGGUUGACGUUGAAAAGUCUUCGGAUGACCUGUGGGUAGGGGUGAAAGGCCAAUCAAACUCGGAAAUAGCUCGUACUCCCCGAAAUGCAUUUAGGUGCAGCGCUGGCUUAAGUUAUAUAGAGGUAGAGCUACUGAUUGGAUGCGGGGGCUUCACCGCCUACCAAUUCCUGACAAACUCCGAAUGCUAUAUAAUGUUUACCAGUAGUGAGGGCAUGGGUGCUAAGGUCCAUGUCCGAGAGGGAAAGAACCCAGACCAUCAGCUAAGGUCCCCAAAUGUAUGCUAAGUUGAAAAAACGAGGUUUGUCUGCCCAGACAGCUAGGAUGUUGGCUUGGAAGCAGCCAUUCAUUUAAAGAGUGCGUAACAGCUCACUAGUCGAGCGGACGAGCAUGG